GCCAUAGUCCAUUAAACCUACAAAACUAAGAGCUAAUUAACUAACCAAAACAAUUAAACUAAUUAAGAUUAAUCCAGCAAACUAAGUGAAACGAUUAUACAAAAAUUCAAACUGAGAAGAACACACUUAUACUUAAACAAUAUCAUAAAAAUUCAUACGGGUCAACAGAUAACAAGUACAAAAUGAAAUCAUAACACAUGAUCAGUAGUGACAAAUAACAAUUCAACAUCUAAAACAAGUAAAGGAAACAUGUGAAAAUAAAGCUCAACUAAACAGAACCAAGGGAAGCAAAUUAAAUGGAACCAGAGAAAAAUUCGAGAUCGAUUGGUUUGAACCUAAAGUGAAAUAAACAAACACUUAAGAGACCUUACCAAUUGACCCUCGAUCAACAACUGCCUUUCCAAUUCCACAAUGGGAUGAUAUCAAUCAGCCAUUCUUUGACAAAACAGUCAAAUGAUAUCAGCUCGUAGUGAAAUUGUGCUUAAGGCUUGUGGAGAAAUAGAGAAGAAAUGAAGCCGGCCCAAGUUCCGAAUUUUAGGUUAAAAAUUUUGAGAAGUUUGGGGAACUUUUAAUGUAAUUUGUGAUAUGGGGAUGGAGGUGGAUCUACGGUGUAUAUCCAGUGGUGUUUGGGGUGGCAGUACAAACACCGGAAGCUAAAAGCGGCAGCUAAGGUUAGGGGAUUUUUGGGGCAUUUCGAUGGGGUUUGAGAGGAAAUAAACGCAGAUUGUCGAUGAGGAUAUGAAGACGAACCCUUGGUGCAAAUUUUGGGGCUGUCCGUCGAGUUAUGGUUUUCGGGUCGAGAUUUGCUUUGAUAUUCGACGAGUUCCACUGAUCUUCGAGGAAAACCAAUGGUGGAAAAGGCAUGAGGAAGUCAAGAUGGAGCUUUGGUGUUAUUUUGGUGAUAGUUGGAGCUCCGCCGCCGCCGUGGGCGAUUUUCGGUGGGCGGUGGGUGGUGGUGGAACUAGAAUACGAGGAGGGUGAAAUGUGUCUACGGUUUAAUGUAUAUCUUCAGACAUUUUUAUGCAAAUGGGAGAUGGGCUUCUAACCGUUGGAUCAAGGAAGGAUUGAUGGCUCUGAUUAACUGGCGCUUAGAACGACGUCGUUUCGCCCAUCCAGGAAUUGGACUGGGUUAGGAGGAUUUGGGCCUGGGAUUGGGUCCGGUUCAUGGGUUAGUUUCGUUUGGGCUCAUUAACUAACAGCCCAAUUCGUGGGUUUACUUAGACAACCUACUUUUUUUUAUUUCUCCCUCUUUUGUUUGUUUUUUUAAAAUUGUAUUUUUGUUCUAUUUUUUACUUUUAUAAAUGUGCAAAAAAUUAACAAAAGUUCAAAUAUUCCAAAGUUAAACUAAUUACAUUCUAAAAAUAUUUAAAAUAUAUUUCACGUCGAAUUCACAAUUAAAAGAAUUAAAACGUGAACUAUUUUUGUUAUUUUCUUCAUAUUUUAUUCUUAUACAAAUUAACCCCUAAUUAAUACUAAAAUGUGAAAUUAAAUCCUAAAUGCAAAUGCAUAUUCUUGUAUUUUCAUAUGAAUUAACAUGCACAAAUAAAUGCAAAAAAUUAAUACAAAAUUAACAAAAAUGGUAAAAAUAAGGAAAAAUCUUUUGUUUCAAUUUUAUUAUAUAUAUGGAAAAAAUCACGUGCUCACAGCUGCCCCUCUUUGCUCGGAAACAUGAAAAGUUUUCGGGCAAAGAUAAGAGCAAAUACGAGCAAUUUUUUCCCGCUCAAAUAUUCCGUUGCGAAGCAUUUUGAAAAGUUUGACCGGACCAUGCUUCAGAGGUUGCCUACAUAUCCUCGACUAAAGAGGAAUCAUGUUAGUGUAGUUCAGGAGUGUUUAGUAGCUGGGACUACCAGGAGCUAUGAUUUCACUGCAAUUUUUGUUGCUACUGCUCGUUGACCUUCCUUAUUGCACCGUGUCAAAAAUAAAAGAAGCUAGUCUAGGCUAUGAACUACGAAUUACAAAAAGUCCUAUCUAAAAUCAUUAAACUGGCCUCUUGUACUUCCUUGUUGUCUUGUGUUCCCUUGUUGUUACUCCUUGUUGUUACUUCAAAUCGUGAAGUAAGACAUUGUUCCUUCUCUUCAAAUUACUGAACGUUAACUUGAAAGUACUCCUCUGUUAUCCAGGCGGGCUCCUGACUGCUGAACUUGGAUUUGAAUGUACUCCUCUAUUAUCCAGGCGGGUUUCUGACUUCAAAACUUGGAUGCGGACUUCAAAACUUGAAUUCAUUCCUCUGUUCUCCAGGCGGGCUCCUGAAUUCACAAAAAUAGACAAAAGAAAGGAAAAUUUCUGCCCCAGUUUGGAAAACUGGGUGCUUGUUACUUAUAUUAUCAAAAAAAGUGAAAACUACAACUUGAAUUGCGAUAAGACUGAAAUGCAACAGUAAAAGCUAAAGACUGAAAUGUAUUCCUCUGUUAUCCAGGCGGGCUCCUGACCUCAAAACUUGAAAAUUUAAAGACUGAGAUGUUUCAAAAACUUCAAAUUUAAAUAAUGUAAUCCUCUGUUAUCCAGGCCGCCUCCUGACUUCACAAAAAUAGACAAAACAAAUAAAACAUUCUGCCCCAGAUUGGAAAACUGAGCUCCAGAUACUAAUAUGAAUUCAAAAACUAAAACUUGAAUUGUAAUACCUCUGUUCUCUAGGCGGCUCCUGACUUUAAAAUUGCAUAUAUUCCCUUGUUAUGCGGGUGGGCUCCCGACUUUUGAAUUCAAACUUGAAUGUAUUCCCUUGUUGUACGGGUGGGCUCCCAUCUUUUGAAUUCGAACUUGAAUGUAAUCCCUUGUAAUAUGGGUGGGCUCCCGACUUUUUAAUUCGAACUUGAAUGUAUUCCCUUGUUAUACGGGUGGGCCCCUGACUUUUGAAUUUGAACAUAUGUAUUCCCUUAUUGUACGGGUAGGCUCCCGACUUUUAAAUUCGAAUUUGAAUGUAUUCUCUUGUUAUAGGGUGGGCUCCCGACCUUUGAAUUUGAACUUGAGUGUAUUCCCUUGUUAUGCGAGUGGGCUCCCGACUCUGAAUUUGAACUUAAUGUAUUCCCUUCUCGUACGGGUGGGCUCCCUACUUUUGAAUUCAAACUUGAAUGUAUUCCCUUGUUAUACGAGUGGGCUCCCGACCUCUGAAUUUGGACUUGAAUGUAUUUCCUUGUUGUACUGGUGGGCUCCCGACCUCUGAAUUUGGACUUGAAUGUAUUCCCUUGUUAUGCGGAUGGGCUCCUGAACUCAAACUUGAAUGUAUUCCCUUGUUAUGCGGGUGGGCUCCCGACUUUUCAAUUUGAACUUGAAUGUUUUCCCUUAUUAUGCGGGUGGGCUCCUGACCUCAAUCUUGAAAAUUUAAAAUACUAAGAUGUUUCAAGACUUCAAUUUUAAAGACUGAAAUGUAUUCCUCUAUUAUCCAGGCGGGCUCCUGACUUCAUAAAAUAGACAAAACAAAGAAGACUUUAUACCCCAGUUUAGAAACUGGGUACGUGUUUUAAUGGGCAUUUAAUAGGAAUUGAAUACUAAAACUCGAAUUGUAAUAUCUCUGUUUUUCAGGCGGGCUCCUGAUUUCAAAACAUAAAAAUGUAUUCCUCCAUUAUCCAGGCAGGCUCCUGAUUUCACAAAAACAUAUGAAAACAAGGAAAAUUACCUGCCCCAGUUUGGUAGCUGGGCACAUGGGUAUGUGUUACUGAAUCCUAAACCAACUAUUACUAAGAAUUUGAAAGUUAAAUCCUAUUAUGCAUGGAGGUCCUGACAAUUCCUAACAGUUAUGAACCUGAUUUAUAUUUUCUAAAGGUAUUGCUCCUACUACAUUAUGUCAUUUACAAAGUUUUGAGCUACAUCCUACUAUUUAUGAAGGUCCUGAUUACUCCUAACAAUUACGAACCUAAGGUAUCACUGCAUCAUGUUAUCUACAAAGGCAUUAAACUACGUCAUGUUAUCUAGGGAGGUCCUGACAACUCCUACUUUGGAUUUAAUCCUAAACAUGUAAACUUUGAGACCAACUUACAUUCCCUAUGUUAUUCCUGUCUAUUUUGUAUAUUAAUCACACCAUACUUUGCAGUCAAACCUGAUUACUGCUUGUCUUUCCUUUACGGAGAAUUCCUCCUGAACGGCUAACUUUUCUGCCCCUGUUUCAAACAAAAAAAAUUUUGUCAGUUUAAAAUGAUGGUUAGUUGAUGGCAUUCUUGCAAAAAAAUCCCUCCCUAGCAUUGCUUUGUUUCCUCCGGCUUCCCUGAACUGUCCCUGAAGCGCUCGACUUUCUGAGCCACUUUCAAAUUCCCCAACUUCUGACAACGUGGAUGUUUCGUACCCCUGUUGUAGUUUCAUAUCUCUGAUCCCUUUGUCUGAACCUUUACAUUUCCCACAAUAUUUCCCAAUUAUUCCACCGAUAAAACUUUCGGUGACUUUCCAUACUCCACUUUACAUCAUAUUGUUAUUUGGCAUGCUCUGACCACAUUAUGCUUUUCCAUUUUCGGAAGUUGGUAGUGAGCUUUGAAAUUCUUUCUACUCGCAUUUAACAAAAAUGACAUUGGAACAUCAUGGAUAGAUAAAACCUCCAAAAGACAAUGAAAUUCAAUGAUUUUAUGAGUUAAGGAUAAGAAGAAUCAAAAACCAGAUGACUAUUAGAAGGAAAAAAAGAAGAGAACUUAUCUGACCGGAACAGCUGGCACAAAUGGUCAAGACAUGCAUUUCGGACUAAUCGGCCCAAUCAGUCCAACUAACCAGCUUUCAAUUGGCAUACUUUGUUGCCCAAAAUUUCUGUCACUUGAUUACUUUAACCAAACCUGAACCUUGUUUAUCUUGCGGUACCACAAAACAGUUUCCACCAAUAGGCCUUUCUCAGUUUGCCAUUUUCCAACUCCCUUUCGCCUCAAGGUGCCCGUGAGGGUUUUUGCCAAUAAUACUCUCUCAUUUAUUUUUUCUCUCAGCUUCUGUCGCCUUAUGGUGCCUGUGAAGGUGUUCAGCAAUAAGACUCUCUCAUUUGUUUUUACUUUGUUCUUCUUGCUUGAACCAUAGUGUUGCACCUAUCAUGAUUUACUUCAACCUGCUCAACUUAGCAUUUCUAAAAAGCUGAUCAGAAGGUCUUUCUUUGGACCGUAAUGUAGGCUUUUGGAUGGGUUAGGAAAGAAGGGGUAUAAAAGGCUCAAAAUGAUCUUAAAAUGGGUUAAAAUUACAACUUUCGGAAUUCAAUUUCUUUCAACAAUCACAACUUCUGCCCCAGUUUCUUGCUUUAGGACUUUUGGAGUCUUAUUUAUGUAUGACUGAACCUCGGAGAAGCUGCCUACGUACCCUUUCGGGAUCAAGUCAAACGUAGUUCACUUUAUCGUAAUUACCUUUGUUGUGAUUCUUUCUUUUCUUUUCUUUUCUUUUAUUUUCUUUUCAUUUUCUUUCUUUUCUUUCCUUUUCUUUCCUUUUCUUCCUUCUUUCCUUUUAAGUACUCGUCUUCGCUCUUGCAUUUCUUAACUGUGUCAUUGAUUCCGAAGGAGGGGUACGAAAGAAAAUAAGUACGGCUCAAAAUGGGUGACAAAGGAUAAAGUGUUUCAGAUAGUAGAACAAAACACCUUCGUCAUUUCAAUCUUCAAAAUAUGCCAAAUACAAAACCAAUACGGUUAGAAUAAACAAAUCAUACAGAGUACCACUUGACCAUAUUAGAAUUGGUGGCCGUUUCUACAUAUUUUCCUUCUCAUAUCUGUUAAAUAUAAUGUACCACUAGACAACACUCUGGUUACCACAAAUGGCCCAUGCCAGUUUUGGGCAGAUUUUCCUUUUGCUUCAGCCUGAUGAGGCAAGACACGUCUCAACAAUAACUGUCCAAUUUUGAAUUUCCUCGAACGCAUUUUCACGUUGUACACUUUUGUCAUUUUUGUUUGUACAAUUGGCCAUGACGCACUGAUACUGAUCUCCUUUCAUUAAUCAAACCCAACCGAUCAAGGCGGGUGAAAUCGUCAUCAUGUUUCAACUCAUUAUCACACUCAAUUUCUUGUAUUAUUAUUCAGAAUAAGGCCGGUUUUCAAGACUAGGUCGAAGAUUCCUCAUGCAUGUCAUGUCAUUGAUAUCAGAUAAAAAGAACUGUACAGAGAAGAAAAACAAACAGAAACAAAAUUAAGAAGAAGGAAAGAUAAUUGCAUUUCAUUGAAGAAAAAGAUAACAGGGUUUUAACUCAUCAAAAUGGACAAAACAUAGUAUCUAGACUACAGAACCUGGAAUAGUCCAGACAGUUUAAAGAAAACAAAACCCAUUACCAAAACUUCUAAUCAUUGACUUUUGCCCGUGGUCAGGCGAACUGCGCAUUUUCCUUGCUUGCCCCUUCCUUUGCUUCAACCAUGUUUACCUCGGUGAAUAACCUUUCAAACCCAUUUCUCGCGUUUCCAUCAACACCAUUCAAUGACCCAAGAACCUUUGGCGACAUCGGCUUGUUAUCCACCCCUUUUAACUGGACCACCAUUUUUUCACUAGUUGACUUUUCGUUCAAAUUGGUUUUGCUAGAAUGGAUUACCUUCUGCGAGGGUUUCUUUAGUUUUCCUCCUUUAUGGAUCAAUUCGAUCAUAUGAGCCUUAUGGUGAGCUGGCAACGGAUUCUGAUCAGUGUUUUGUGCCUCUGAGGCCUCAACCUCGAUCCUGAUUGUGUCAAUAAGCUCCUGCACAACAGUUUUCAACCUCCAACAUUAUUUAGUGUCAUGUACGGGGGGCUCUCGAAGUAUUCAUAGCUCACAGUGUGAUCCAGAUUUAUACAAAGGAGAUUUGGCGUAUUAACUUCAACCGGGGUUAGCAAGCCUAACUGCCUCAGUUUGUUGAAAAGGGUGGUACAGGAUUCUCCCAGCGGAGUGAAUGUUUUUUUGUUCGGGACCUUCUCAUUUCUGAAAGCUUGGUCGGGCGGAAGUCGGGUCCUGGUUUGUAAUCCCUUGGGUGUGGAUAUGUGUUUUGUGGAUCUGGAUAUGGGCUUUAUGGAACCGGUGCACGCCAUCGCAGGUUAGCCAGAGACUGGGUGUAUGUUUAGGCGUGGUAAGCAGAAAAGUGUGGCUCUGGUGGUGGAUAGUAGGGUUGUGGAGGGACGUAUGGAGUAUAUGAGUAAUUUGGGUGGAGAGUUCUGGGUUGUUUAUAGUAAGGCGAAGGGUUGUGAGGCUUUGACCAGGUACUAGCUUCAACCGUGGCAACUUCUUCUUUCUUCUUCUUCUUUCCGAGCACACCAACAAUGCCGUUUUGGAUAGCCUGUGUCGUUGCUUUCAAUUCUGAAUAGCUCAAGAUUUUGUUGGAUUUCAAUCCUUCUUCGAUCAUGGCUCAUAUUUUUACCACUUUGUUGAAUGACUUCUCAACAGAUGUCACCAGAUGACCAAAAUAGGUAGGCUCCAAUUUUUGGAAAAAGUAAUCUACCAUUUCGCUCUCCCUCAUCGGAUGGUCAACCCUGGCUACCUGUUCCCUCCAACGGAAACCAAAUUCUCUAAAGCUUUCUCCCGGCUUCUUCUCAAAUUUCAACAAUGAAAAACGGUCAGGGACUAUCUCGAGGUUGUAUUGAAAAUGGCCAAUGAUUGCCUGUGCCAAAUCAUCCUAUGUAUACCAUCGGCUAGGGUCCUGUCUUUUGUGCCACUCCAAUGCAGACUCGCUCAGACUUUGACCGAAGUAAGCUAUCAGCAAUUCAUCUUUUCCCCCAGCACCUCUCAUUUUACUGCAAAACCCUCGGAGGUGGGCCACCGGGUCGCCAUGUCCCUCGUACAGGUCAAACUUGGGCAUCUUAAACCCUACGAGCAACUGGACAUCAAGGAAAGGGCACAAAUCUUUAUAGGAGACGCUAACUUGGCUGCCUAAACCAUGCAUGUUCCUGAAGGAUUGCUCCAGGCUUUUGAAGUUUCUAAUCACUUCCUCAUGCUCCGUAUUUUUAACUUGUUUAUCCAUUGCCUCUGGUGUCUCAAAGUGAGGGUAUAUGAGUAUGGCUAAGGAGCCUCAAGAGUGGGUUCAGACGGGUAAUAUUGGGUGUCAGGGCUUGGAAUAGUGGUUCACUAGAGGACCUUUGUAAUGGAGCUGGAGAAGAUGCCAGAAAAAUCGGAGCUACGGGUGGAGGAGGGUUCUGUUUGGGUGGCAGAGGUGGAGGGGUGUAUGAAGUUGUGGCAUACCCCUGGGUGUUAUACUGGAAGGGUGGAGAUGUGUUAGGAGUAGGAGGCUCCUGAGCCUGCACUAGAGGAGGGAUAUAGGACGGGUUGGCGGGAUACAAAGAUGUCGGCUGCCCCUGAGACCAAGCUUGGUACAUUUCAGCCAUCUGUGCUUUCAACUUCCUCAUCUCUUAUUUCAUGACACCCACAUCAUUCACCUCGACCCCUUUUGUAAGGUCCACAAUACUGGAAUCAGAUUCUUGUCCUGUCAUCUUAUCUUUCGACCGGGUGAUGUCGGGUGCCCCUGAGACCAAGCAUGGUACAUUUCAGCCAUCUGUGCUUUCAACUUCCUCAUCUCUUCUUUCAUGACACCCACAUCAUUCACCUUGACCCCUUUUGUAAGAUCAAUAAUAUUGGAAUCAGAUUCUUGUCCUGUCAUCUUAUCUUUCGACCUGGUGUUGUAUGGGUUAGUCGCCAGAAUUGCCAAUCAACUAACCACCUGCCUGGAUUCAUCAUCAACAACAACUUGGUUUAUGGUUAGGGCAUGAGCAUAUUUGAUAACCACUUGUUGGGAAUGAAUGCACCUAAACAGUUUAACGGAUUCUAUAUGCAUUUGCUCAACUGCUUGCUUUAUCCCGGCUUUUUCCUUAUUUCUGAUUGCACAUUUUCUUUCUUUUCUUUUAUUCUCUUUUGUUUUUUGUUCUUGCCUUUGCCUUAUUUGUUCUUAUUUCCUAUUUUUUUCUAUUAUCCCUUUUUGGGUUUCUGUUUUCCCUCAUUAGUUUUUCUUUCCUCUCUUAUCCCUUACCCUUUUUCUGUCAUUUUCUUUCUUGUUUUUCCUCUGUUUUCUUUCUCUCUCUUUUUUGGUUUUGUCGCUAUUUUAUUUUUACCUUUUUAUUUGGUUGUGGUUGAAUCCUAUGUGGAUUGCCUACAUGUCGUGACCCCGCAUGAAUCAGACCGAGCGUAGUUCGUGAAAAUAAAAUGUAAACGACAAUAAAAUAUUUUUGAAAUUUUCCAUUUCUAUAAUAACAACAAAACUAACAACUUAACGAUAAAAUACACAUUUGAAAAUUAAACGACCCAUAUACUCUAAUCAAAAGAUAUACAACCUUAAAAACAACUGACAGAUUCCUUUCCCUAUAUGCUAAUUUUGAACAAACGGCCAUUUAUGACAAAAUGUCAUGACCCGACUAAUUUAUAAUUCUUCUCUUGUUUUUCAAAUUUAAAAUAAAGGACCCGGUGUUGCAAACACGCCCUUUCAGCGCCUCAGGGACGAAGAUUUAAGACAGUGAGGGUUAAAAAUCAAAAUAUGACCAAAGGUGGCUGUUUAUGCAAUGUUAGCCUUCCGGCGCCUCAUUUGGGAACAUUUGGCUAUUAUAGACAAAAACGGCAUCACCUGGUUUAUUUGUGACAAAAAUUAAAAUUUUGCCAUUUUUUGAGCUAUUUUUGCAAAGAGGAUGUUGGACCCGAUGAGGGUUGCCUAAGUAUCUCACGCCCUGUGAGAAUCAAACCAUGCAUAGUUCGGGCAUAAUUAACCGAACUACUAUAAAACAAGACUCUUUUCAUUUUCAUUUUUGGAAUUUCAAGUAAAAUAAAAAAACUACCUUUAAAAAAACAAGACUCUUUUUUUGUUCUUUUUUUGUCAACGAACAAUAAAAUGACCUAAAAUAAAAGACUCUUUUUCUUUUGCUAUGGCAAAACAAACAAUUUUUCCCUCUCUAUUUUAAAAACAAGACAAAAUAAUGAAUCUCUUUUUUUCUUUUCAUUUUCAACAAACCUAUUUUUCCCAGCUAAAAAUAAAGACUUUUUUUAUUUUUUAGUAACACAACCUAUUUUUCGAAAUAAAAUGAAAGACUCUUUUUUUUCUUUUACAAUAAAACACCCUAUUUUUCCAUUGGCAAAUAAACUAUUUUGAGACAAGAAGAACAAAAAUCAAGACCUUUUUUCUUUCAUGGCAAAACAAACUAUUUUUCAUUUUCUAUUUUUGCAAACAAGACAAAUUAAAAAUGACGGACUCUUUUUGAAUAAAUAACUAUUUAAAAAUAAAAUAUUUUUAUAUUUUCUCAAAAUUUCGGCAUGGUUCCGAUAGCACUCGGACAUCAAUUUUUCUAAAACAAUCAAUUAACUAUCCAAUUGCUAUUUUUCUCUUUUCUCUUUCUUUUUUUUCUCUUUAUUUUUUUUUAUUUUCUAACAUUCUCGAGAUUCGGAAGCUGGUCAACAUGCAAGUCCGAGAAAAUAAAUGCACAGAAAAUAAGUAGGAUGCAUCAGGAUGGUCUUUUCAUUUCAGGUUGCUAGCCCUAGACGGAUCCAACCCCUGUGUUGAGUCCCUAAUUCAAAAUGCACAUGAUGCAAAUAAGCGUUCCAACUAGGGAUCCGGCAUGAGCUGAGUUAUUCUAGGUUCAAAACCUGGGUAUUUGUAAUAGACCUGGCUUACCCGAGCGGACAGCUUGAGUCGAGGAGGAGGUGGUAAUCUGGGAAUAAAGAAGCUUCGCCGGCUUUGCGACUUAUCCAAACCUCGUUCUAAAGUGGGAUUUGAAACUAGAUAGAAAGGAAGUUGUACACCAUGCACCCUUCUUCACAAUUCAAAAGACUCAGAGAGGAGAUGCGUUUCGGGCCUUUCGGCACAAUAUAUAUAUAGUUCACGUAAUAUCAAAGUGGUAAAAGCAAUCAAUUAGCACAUAUCAUGUAACAAAAUCAGAUAAAGCCAAACACAAAAUUAUUCUAAGCUCGAACUCUGAAUCCUGAACAAUACGUUUUGGGUUCUUGUUCCCAGCAGAGUCGUGAGAGUUGUCACACCUCCUAUUUCGCUAUACACCCCCGCAAAGGAGCGUUAAGGAGUUUUUUCACUUAAAGGACAAUUGCAAUGGGAUUUAUCUCCACUUGAGAGAUUAAUGGUGUCCCAACUCACCGGUUGAAUCCCGAACCGAGGAAAAAGAUGACUUUGUUAACAGUCUGCGAACCAGAAAUCCGGAUAAGGAAUUCUGUUAACCCAGGAGAAGGUGUUAGACAUUUCCGGGUUACGUGGUUCUAGCACGGUCGCUCAACUGUUGCAUUUAGAUUUUAUUUGAUUUUAUUACAUGAAGAGCCUAUAUGCCAAUUUUACGCUUAACCGCUUUUAUUAAUUAUAAUAUUUAUUUGAGGAAGUGAACGUUGUUUAAAGUGUGGUUUCGGAUUGCGCCGCAACAAAUGAACCUGCAAUCCUAGGUAGGGGCGUGCAUUCGAUUUACCGAUUCGAUUUUGACCCUUAUCGAUAAUUACUUAUCCAUUAUCGAUUUGUACAUAUACAUAUCGUUAUCGUUUCAAUAAGGUUUCGAUUUUUUCGAUUUCGAUUUAUCGAUUUUUGGGGCUUAUCGAUUCGGUUAUCGAUUACACCAAUAAGAAAANNNNNNNNNNNNNNNNNNNNNNNNNNNNNNNNNNNNNNNNNNNNNNNNNNNNNNNNNNNNNNNNNNNNNNNNNNNNNNNNNNNNNNNNNNNNNNNNNNNNNNNNNNNNNNNNNNNNNNNNNNNNNNNNNNNNNNNNNNNNAUAAGACGAACACCGUUUAUAACAUAAAAAUUGUGUCAACAGGCACAUGCAACGAAACUAAAUUAAGGGAUCAAAUGGAUGCCACCAACAAUACAACGGUAUUAAAAAAAAUAAAAUACACCAUCACUGCUAAUUCUAUUUUCCAUUAAUUUAAACUUCAUUCCCUUUAGCUUUGAAUAUGAUCAUUCCCUAAAUAUGGUAGAUGAAAUAAUUAGGAGUGUGCAUUCGAUCUAUCGAUUCGAUUUUGACCCUUAUCGAUAACUACUUAUCGACUAUCGAUUUGUACAUAUGCUUAUCGUUGUCGUUUCAAUAAGGUUUCGAUUUUUUCGAUUCGAUUUAUCGAUGAAUCGAUAACAAAUAAUCGAUUCGAUUUAUUAAUAAACCGAUUCGAAUGCACACCCCUAAUCCUAGGCACACUCUAUUCAACAUUUUAGGAUUUGGAUUUGGACCGCAUAAAAUGCCCACUCGUAUUUAGGAAUGUAAUUUAUUUAAGCCGCACCUAAUAGAGUCUAACGCGUUGUAAUAUUUUGGGAGAGUCGUGAAAUUCGCUAAGCGGCCCUUCCCUAUUUCCUAAAUAUUUUUAAACCUUUACUUAGGGCCCUGCAAUUGGUAUUUUUUGUGGGCGAGGCUCGUCUCAUUUUAUUUUAAAGGAUAAGCGUAAAAGCGACUAUAUUUUCUAUUUUUGUUUUCUGUCUUUAAAAAAAAAAAGAAAAGUGACCCAAAAUUACAUUUAAAAUUCGGGCCUCGAGUUCAAGUUCGGGUCCAAUCAAAAGGACGAGCCUAAUAAUUUAAAAUUCAAAAUUCGCUAAUUAACUCAAAACCCGAAUUUCAAAUACCAAAUAUGUCAAUUGAAAGAAUAUUUGAACUGGGCCAACGACAAAUGUCAGUCCAGGCCAAGCGUAUACAAUCAUAAAGAGGACCUGGGCCUUCUGCUUGUGUACGAUGCCCAUCACUCGAGUCUGUUCCAGUUAUGUCAAGUGCACUUGCUCAAAUUAGCCCGAUACUGCUUGUUUUGAUUAUAGAAUCACAGACGUUGGAACUAAGCUGACCCUUUUGAAGAUAACAUGAAUGCACAUAUAUAUAUCAGCCUCCCAGCUAAUUCCAAAUUCUAUUCUACUCAAACUUCUUGCUUCAAUUUACACUUAACUUUCUUUUCUUUCAAUCAAUGCAACACUAUUUAGUUAUCAAUAAAGGCAAAGUAAUAGUCCACCAAGUUCAACCACCAGAUUUAUCAAAUAUACUUUACUGCUUUAAGAUUUAAAUGCUUAUGCCCUGAUCUCAAACCCAGCAGUAGUGACUUCAACUCAAAUCUAAGCUGAUAUUUUCCUUCUUAAAUAUUUGGCCAGCAUCUAAUACACAAAAACAUUCACAAAUUAAAACAUAUGAUUCGAAUGCUAGAUAUAGUCCACACAGUCCAUUACAAAUCCAAACUAGCCCGAAUCAGUCUUUAGAACAACCCUAAUCACACAGUCAAGUUCUAUAUUUCAUAUAAUACUAAAUAAACUGCUAACAUUAACUUCAUGUAUUUCGAUGGCAUUCAUUGAAUUAAAAUUGGUCUCAAUGAGCUCAAAUCCAAUGGAAACUUCUCAUUUCAACUUCAAUUUUAAAGUUACAUCAGGAUAAUUGAGGGGGUGUACCCGAAAACGAUAUGGAAAUAGAGGAUGAAGGUCAGAAAGAUACUGAUUGAUCAGCAGCAAUAACCAAUAAUUUCCAGCAGUACUAAACAACCAACAGCCCAGAAAGUUUUCGAAAAAACCAAAUAGAACCAAAAUCAACACCAAAACUGCACAGGGACAACCAGGAAAGCUAUACACUCAACAAAUAAAACCACAAUAAUGUCAAGCAACCCAAAUAAUUCGAAACCGAGCUUGAAUUAACCCAACUUGGACUAUGAAACCCCAGAAAAGCUUCAACACAUUCAAACCAAACUCCGAGAUCAAAGGCAACAAUUAAUACUUCGAAAUUGAGCCCUAGCUCAAUGUAACAGUAAUUAUUAUGACUAUUUUUGCUGCAUUUUGUUGUUGUGUUUUCUUUUUUGGAUUUUUCUUUUUGAAAAACUAAGAACUUAGGAGAAAAAUGUGAACCUGAGUGUUAGUUUCAGAUUUGGACUGGGAGAGAUUUAUUUGGGGGAAUAUUGGGGCUCCAAUCUUGUGAAUGGAGUAAAGGGCAUGUCAUUUUAUAGGCACAAAUGAGGGCAGCCCUCAGAUUUUCAGUUUUCAAUCCAGUCCCUGUUUAUAUACAGCUUUGGUCCCUCAGUUUUUAACUUGUGUUGCAAGUAAUGCCUUAAACUUCCUAAAAUGUAUACUUAAGUCCUAUUUUGGAAUAUCCUAGAAGAUUCUAUCACGUUCCUAUU
rnacentral:lncRNA from 1 species